GGGACUGGGGAAUUUGAGAACCAGACUUGAACUCUGCACGAUUUCAUGUUAGGAUGCAGAUCCAGCUCGCUGGACUUAAAAGGAAACAUGAAUGACCAGUUCUUCAGUAGUUGCUAGAGGGAGCAAAGGGGCCGCAUGUAUUCUCGGAGAAAAAAACAACUGAACCACUAAAUAUCAGACUUCAGCCGCCACUGCUCUUUGCGUAUGCUAUUGAGAUAUGAGUACUGUAAGCCAAUAAGAGAUGAGAAAAUGGAAUCUAGGAUAAGAAAAGUGGCCCAUUGGAAACGGACCCACAGAUCACUGGCGGACAGGAUCUUAAAGUAACUACUAAAUAUGUGUUGUUAACUUAAUUUGGGAAACUGAGUGGAAUGAGAAGAUGAAGAGAGGGAAUAUGUAGAAUUGGGCUACUGCCGAAAGCAAUCCUAUUAAAGAGGGCAUUUCUUCGCAGCACUACGUCACAUAGCGCCUGUGAACCCUGCAGG
rnacentral:lncRNA from 1 species